rnacentral:rRNA from 1 species
CAGCCGCCGCGGUAAUACAGAGGGUGCAAGCGUUAAUCGGAAUUACUGGGCGUAAAGCGCGCGUAGGUGGUUUGUUAAGUUGGAUGUGAAAGCCCCGGGCUCAACCUGGGAACUGCAUCCAAAACUGGCAAGCUAGAGUACGGUAGAGGGUGGUGGAAUUUCCUGUGUAGCGGUGAAAUGCGUAGAUAUAGGAAGGAACACCAGUGGCGAAGGCGACCACCUGGACUGAUACUGACACUGAGGUGCGAAAGCGUGGGGAGCAAACAGGAUUAGAUACCCCAGUAGUCCCUGUCUCUUAUAA